AAGCCAACCCCAGCGCAGGCUGAAUUAAUGUGUUGCUAUUUUUGGGAGCCCCGUGUUUCCAGGGGAGACCUAAUGACGCAAUGACGUCAAUGCGGGUCAAUCGCAGACUGGAGGAAUUGAGUGGCUUCCAUUUGGGGUUUUUGCAGUAUUUCCUACAGAAAGGAUGGAAACGAGUACAAAAUGGAAGUGUAUUUUCCUCAAAAAAUGCAUCGAAAAUAGAGGUGAAUCAAAAUGCAGAAGUGAAAAUGAUCACAGUGGCAUCACGUCGCCCCAACCCUUCGAGCAUCAGCGAUAGUAAAGGAGGGCUUUACACAAUCCCGACCUAUUCCAAGCGCUCGCAUCUAGACGCACAGAGAUGCUGGACCAACUGUGUAUGAUCGUGGCCAUGGUUUGAGCUGAGUGGACUUGUUCUUUUCAGGCCUUUUUGCGGUCUGGGCUUGCUGUCAAAUGACUAUCCAGGAAGCCCUUACCCCAAAAAGCAUCUGCAAGGGACACUUACUUCAAGGAAGAAUUGACAAUUGAGCUCAACUGAUAUAUUGUGAAACCCUAAUUCACCUAUUUUUUACAUAAAUUAAGUGUGAGUGUAUACAAUUGUGAAAUAGUGUAUUUGACUAACCGAUUCAACACAAAAAGUGUUUGAGUGUGGUUUAAGUAGAACUUUUUUUCUAAUAAAUGAAUAAUGACCCAGUACAUAGCCUAAUAUAAACCAUGUCAAAAAAAUCCAGCAGGGGACCCAGAGUGCAGUGCUGCUUUUCCUCCCAACAAAGUAACUACUUUAAACUUUUACCCAAGAUGUAAACCAUUCCCUGAUUAGUUAGUUAGAAGGAGCAGGUUUUGUGUCCUGAAGACCAGCAUUGAGACCCAUGACUCAAAUUCUAAAUGUGUCGGAGGUACUACACAAUUUCUCCAGAAGGUGGCAGCAUUGCUCAAGUUUUUUUGACUAUAAGGAAAUUUUAUGUAAAUCCAUAUCCACAACAAGUCCAUGGAUACACAUGCAGUGUCAUGCUUUAAUGUAACCCAGUUGUAUUUAACAUUUGUUUACUUGUAUUUAUUUGGCUGUACAGGUGUGUGAUGCAUUUAAAUAAUCUGGAGGUAUAAGUUUGUCCAUAAAGUAAACAAAAAGCAGUUUCUAGUGCUUUAGCAGCCUACACAGCACUGCAUUAGUGAAUGAACUCAAUUAUGAGCUCCUGUGAACAUGUAAUAAACUGCUUCUGCAGAAAUUUGUCAUUUCCUUUUUAUUAGUCAUUUCCAAUAAGUUCUUUGGGAUCAUGCAAUACAGAAUAAAAGCACAGCCAAAAAAUAGGUGCAAACUUUGUUUCACAAUUUCUUCAGAGCUGUGAUGCGAUUUAGCUUCCAGUAAAUCACAUGCAAACACAUUAGUAAACGAUGCUUCAUCCACUGUAUCCGAUGCAUUUCCGCAUAGCUUGUAGAAUGAAAUCCAGCUCUCUAUUGUCUGGUAUGGAAUAACUAACUGUGUCUCUUAAACAACAAAAGCAGAACCAAUCACUCCCAUAUGUCCCAGUUAUCAGAAAACACCUUUGUCCGAAUGAUGGUGGUGGAUUUUUUUUUAUUUUUUAAACCUGCUUCUGUCAGCUCAGUUCAUGUGCAAAUGUAAAUGCACCCUGCACUCAAAAAUGUCUUUUGUUUAUUGUUACUUCACUUUGUUGUUUGACCUUUGCUGUUCAUGGGCAGACACUGAAAGAUUUUUUUUCAUAUCCAUCUGCUGAGGUGGAAAGUUUUUUUGUACUGGAAUCCCAUCAAUAUGCAACUUAAUCAGCAUGAUGUGGGAAGUGCACAAACAACGAGAAUGGUUCAGCAGUUGAACCUUCACAAUGCAAAACAUUUUUUACAAGCUAACUGAACUUUUUUGUGUGAAAAACCAUAUCCGACCCACGUUAUUAUUCCAAACAGAGCAUUUAACAUGCCUUAAAACUUAUCAGGAGGGAAUCUUUAUGGGAAGGUCAACACAACUUUAAAAGUGUUUGCAUAGUCAGUAUCAACAACAUACACAAACAAAAUCACAUCCAGGCAACAGAGUCAGAGUCAAAAUCAAUUGGUAAAAUCAGAAAUGGCCUUUCGUUAUACAUAGUCUUCUAAACUCUUCUUAGACUUUCUUAAAAUUUGCUGUUUGUGUGUUUUAUGGUUGUUCUCGUCGUGAGUUGUGGUCAAUUAUCCACACAAAGUGUUUUCACCUGUCCAAUUGAAGCUCACCAGCUAGUCUUCAAAAACUUUACUCUGAGGUAUGAACUCCUAAGAAACCUAUUUUCUAAAGGAGGAUUUGUUUUGACCUUGUGUCAAUUGACUCGCUGCUCACUCUUGAGCCUCCUAUUCAAAGAGGCAAAAUGAGGGGAUGCUUUCGUAAACCUGUCGUGGUGUGACCAUCUCAGUGCAAGUUUAAAUAUAAUUGCUUGAGCGGUUCUGCAACAUGAAUAUACUUACGUAGAAUUGGCUGGUAUAUUACUGGAUUUUUCCUUUAAGAAAAUUCCCCCUACUACACGAGGCUGCACUUCUUGUUACCUUGAUAUUGGAACUGGAACAAAAAUGAGGUUGUUUCUUUUCUAUACUACCUGACAGAGGCUAUUUGUUCGACUCUUGCAAGGCCAGAAAAAAAGUGUUGUUGGUUUCAUUCAUUUUUUACUCAUGAAGUUUGUUUUCAUACUGAAUCUUUACUGGAAGUUCCACUGUGAGUUUUUCAGCAGAAUCCCCAUAGCAAACAGCUGCUAAAAACCUGGAUUCACCAACAGCAUAUUUUUGAUAUAUUUGUUUACUCUAUAUUUUAAAAAAAAGUGCCAAAAAUUAAAUUUUUUUAACAGAGUUUCAGAAGUUAAAGAUUAGGUUAGCAUUUU
ensembl:lncRNA